GUUACUCUAACAUUCUUCAAAAUUUUAUCAGAGACUUCUUGCUGUUUUUAGGUGUCAAGAUACUAAUUGCUUUUUACAAUGUGCUGUGACUCAUGCCUAAUCACUUUCCUUUAAUGACUCAAGCAGAGAAACCAGUGAUAUUUGUGAAUAGUAGAUGGGAUAAAAGGAGCUGGACACAUUCUUUCUUCAACAUCUGCCAUGAUAUGAUUUCAUAAGCAAGAAAUGUGCCAAGGCUUCUGCCCAAGAAUAUAAACUACAUGGACACAUCAUGGGGACUCCCCUGCCUUCAAGCUCCCAUGGGGUUUCAACCAAUGAAGACAAGAAGAAAGAGAGAUUGAGAGUGGCUGGAAAAUUGGGAUCGAGACAAGCCGUGUAGAAGAGCACGCUUCUCAGUUUGGCAAGCUGCGACAGAUCGAACCGGGCACAGAGAGAUUUGCACAGGUCCUGAUAAGAAACGGUAUUUUGCUUGCUGUCCAGUUCCUCCAAGAUCUUCACCAAGAAGAGGGAAGUUUCCUGAUUGGUCUCCAUGAUUUAUUACUUGAAAAGCUCGCUGACUACACUGAAACUUCAGGUCAGUUCUGUGGUGGCAAUAUUGAGAAAGAGAGGAGGAAAAGAGGAUUAUAAACAACAGUGGAGUUUGAAGUCAAGCUUCUUAUAAACCGUAUAGAGAAAUACAAAGAAAAACAUUUUAAUGAUUAAAAAUGUAGUAAGGACAGUAAAAAUAUUCAUAACAUUCGAUUUAGUAAUUUCCUUCCUAGGAAUUUCCUUCCUUCCUGGGAACCUACCUUAAUGAUUAAUGAUAACAAUUAUGCUUAAAGGUGUUCACUAUGAUGGCACUUAUAAUAAUGAGAAAGCAAAACAUCUUAAAUAUCCAAAUAGGUGAAUACAUAAACAUGUUAUGAUAUACCAUGAAUUUCUACAAACAUUAAACUACAUUAAUGUACAUUCUUACAAUGGAAUACUACUCAUCAGCAAAAAAGAAUAAACCACUAGUAUAUGCAAGGACAUGGAUGAAUCUCGAAUGUAUUGUGUGUGGGUGGAAGAAGCCAGAGUCAGAAGGUACAUCCUCCACUGCAUGAUUCCAUCUUAAUGACAUUCUGGAAGACAGAUCAGUAGUUGCCGAGAGCUGGAUGUGAGGAGGGGGGUGGACCUCAAAGGGGCACAGAGAAGUUUUCCUAAAUGAUAUAAUUGUUCUACAUCCUGGUUGUGGUGGUGGUUACAUGACUGUAGGCAUUUGUCAAAACUCACAGGACUCUAAACUAGAAAGUGUAAGUUUUACUGUACAUAAAUAAUAACUCAACUUAGAAAUUACAUAAUGAAGACUUUUCUUUUUUUUUUUUUUUUUGAGACAGAGUCUCGCUCUGUGCCCCAGGCUGGAGU